AUUAAAUUCCAAAUAAACAUAAUAAAUGCUAUGGGAAUAACCCAGGAAAAGAGAAUAUAUUGGGAGAUAGAUACUUUUUGGGACUUAGCUGUAUACUCCUCCACCCCCCAUUCCUCUAGCUUGUCUAUUAAAGACGGGUCAUUCAUAUUAUUAGCUUUAUACCUUUUCGUGGAUUUUCCAUCUUCUGUUUGAACCUCAAAGUGUAUUUCAUCUAUAUCUUCUUCUACAGAAACAAUCCUUCCCUCUUUCCCAAAUUUAACAAACUGGCUAUAACUUACAUACUCCGUUAGCUUUUCUUUUAGAUAUCCUCCAAAUAUAAAAUUUGCUGUUACCAUAAUUAGUAGGUAAUAAAUAAGCCAUUUUCUCCUAUCAAAUCUUUUAUUCUUCAUUUUUAUUAAUUUCCUCCAUGUUUCAAAAAUUUAUGUUAAAUUUAUAAUUAUUCGAUUUCAUUAUACCAUACUUUUUAACAAAUUUGGGGCUAUAUGCUCUAUAUACCCAAAUAAUUCAUGGAAUUAUAUAAGUUUUGAGAAUACGUUAGAUCGAAUUUUAUACUUUUGUUAAAAAGAACGAGUUAUAAAACAAAAAGCCCUGCAAUCAUUAAGAUUACAGGGCUUUUACUUGGUGUACCUAGGAGGACUCGAACCCCCAGCCUCCUGAUUCGUAGUCAGGCACUCUAUCCCGUUGAGCUAUAGGUACAUACUGUGUUUUACUUUGCUGGAGGCGGCACCCAGAUUUGAACUGGGGAAUAAAGGUUUUGCAGACCUCUGCCUUACCACUUGGCUAUGCCGCCAGAUUAAAUUAUGCGAAAUCUAAAGCUUUCCGCUAGUAUAAGCGGCCCCGACUAAGCGAUAUACACAAAAUCGAAAAACACGAUUUUGGUCCCCUGCUUAUGCCUUACCACUUGGCUAUGCCACUGUAUUAAAAUUUUAGAUGUUGAACUAUUGGCUGUUUAAAGCUAAACUUUAGUAUAAAUGGAGCGGGUGAAGGGAAUCGAACCCUCGCAACCAGCUUGGAAGGCUGGGGCUCUACCACUGAGCUACACCCGCAUGCAUAGUUGACAAUUAUGUCAAUUAAAUUUAUAAUACUCAGAAACAUAGCGUUUCUGAGUUGCAUUAAAUAGUAGUGGAGCGGAAGACGGGAUUCGAACCCGCGGCCCUCGCCUUGGCAAGGCGAUGCUCUACCACUGAGCCACUUCCGCAUGGUAUAUAUUCUAGUAUAAAUGGUGGAGGAGACUGGAUUCGAACCAGUGAAGGCUGAGCCAACGGAUUUACAGUCCGUCCCCUUUAGCCAACUCGGGAACUCCUCCUAGUUUGUGUCCAUUGGACACUUUUGUUAUACAAUAUAAUAAUGUGGAGCUGGUGAGAGGACUUGAACCCCCAACCUACUGAUUACAAGUCAGUUGCUCUGCCAAUUGAGCUACACCAGCAUAAGUAUUAAAUUACCGCCUUUAAGUUACAUACUGCUAAUAUUAACGGCUCCGACUAAGUGAUUCACAACAAAUCAAAAACAUGAUUUGGGUUCUCUACUUAUGCCAAUUGAGCUACACCAGCAUGGCGACCCGGAAGGGACUCGAACCCUCGACCUCCAGCGUGACAGGCUGGCAUUCUAACCAUCUGAACUACCGGGCCAUUUUUUCAAUUGACAAUUAUAUAAAUGGUGGGCACAACAGGGCUUGAACCUGUGACCCCCUGCUUGUAAGGCAGGUGCUCUCCCAACUGAGCUAUGCGCCCUCGCAAAGUUCACUUAUCACUUCGCUAAGUUAAAUCAUUUCCCGCAGUUUCAUUCACCAAAUUAUUUGUUCGCUAUCGCUCACAUUAAUUUGGGAAUUCAUUGCGGUUUUGACCCACCNNNCAUUUGCAUUUGCUUUAAAAGCAUUANNNNNNNNCAUGCUCUACCACUGAGCCACUUCCNCAUGGUAUAUAUUCUAGUAUAAAUGGUGGAGGAGACUGGAUUCGAACCAGUGAAGGCUGAGCCAACGGAUUUACAGUCCGUCCCCUUUAGCCAACUCGGGAACUCCUCCUAGUUUGUGUCCAUUGGACACUUUUGUUAUACAAUAUAAUAAUGUGGAGCUGGUGAGAGGACUUGAACCCCCAACCUACUGAUUACAAGUCAGUUGCUCUGCCAAUUGAGCUACACCAGCAUAAGUAUUAAAUUACCGCCUUUAAGUUACAUACUGCUAAUAUUAACGGCUCCGACUAAGUGAUUCACAACAAAUCAAAAACAUGAUUUGGGUUCUCUACUUAUGCCAAUUGAGCUACACCAGCAUGGCGACCCGGAAGGGACUCGAACCCUCGACCUCCAGCGUGACAGGCUGGCAUUCUAACCAUCUGAACUACCGGGCCAUUUUUUCAAUUGACAAUUAUAUAAAUGGUGGGCACAACAGGGCUUGAACCUGUGACCCCCUGCUUGUAAGGCAGGUGCUCUCCCAACUGAGCUAUGCGCCCUCGCAAAGUUCACUUAUCACUUCGCUAAGUUAGAUCAUUUCCCGCAGUUUCAUUCACCAAAUUAUUUGUUCGCUAUCGCUCACAUAAUUUGGGAAUUCAUUGCGUUUGACCCACCAUCCAUUUGCAUUUGCUUUAAAAGCAUUACGCAAAUGGGAUUAGGUCAUAAUGGUGACCCUACCGGGACUCGAACCCGGGUUACCGCCGUGAAAGGGCGGUGUCUUAACCGCUUGACCAUAGGGCCAGAUUAUUAUUAUAUGAAAUUUUGAAUUAUGGUAGCGGCGAACGGACUUGAACCGCUGACACUGCGGGUAUGAACCGCAUGCUCUAGCCAACUGAGCUACGCCGCCAUAUUAUUAUGAUUGUACCCCUUCGGGUACUACUAAUCAUAUACCUUCGCUACGCUCAGGUCGAUAUUAUGGUUGGUCCUGUCGGACACUUCUAAACUUAUACCCUACAGGAUAAAUAAUGGUUGCGGGAGCCGGAUUUGAACCAGCGACCUCCGGGUUAUGAGCCCGACGAGCUACCAGACUGCUCCAUCCCGCGAUGAAUUUUUUUAUUGGUACUCCUUGCGUUUGACUGACCUACCUGUGGGUAGGGGUGAAAAGCCAAUCGAACUCGGAGAUAGCUGGUUCUCCUCGAAAUAGCUUUAGGGCUAGCCUCGAGAAAGUGAAGUGGAGGUAGAGCACUGAUUGGUCUAGGGGCGCAUAGCGUUACCAAAACCUAUCAAACUCCGAAUGCCAAAUUCAUAAUUCUCGGGAGUCAGACUACGUGGGAUAAGCUUCGUAGUCGAAAGGGAAAGAGCCCAGACCACCAGCUAAGGUCCCUAAAUCCAAAUUAAGUGGCAAAGGAUGUAAGGUUACACAGACAACCAGGAUGUUGGCUUAGAAGCAGCCAUACAUUUAAAGAGUGCGUAAUAGCUCACUGGUCGAGUGACCUUGCGCCGAAGAUUUCCGGGGCUCAAAUUUGGUACCGAAGCUGUGGGAUUGCCGUGAGUUUAAUACAAUUUUCAAGGAAAGGCCAAAGAUGAGGAAAUCUUUGCCGAAAACGACCUUAAUACAUUAAAGUUAAAGUUUUCGGCCAGAUUAAUCAGCUAAAAUUGGUACCUGCUUGAGAGCUGUAUUAAGCUCACGGCAGUGGUAGAGGAGCGUUCUGUAUGGGUAGAAGCCAUACCGAAAGGAGUGGUGGACUAUACAGAAGUGAGAAUGCUGGCAUGAGUAGCGAUAAGGUAAGUGAGAAUCUUACCCGUCGAAAGCCUAAGGAUUCCUGAGGAAGGCUCGUCCACUCAGGGUUAGUCGGGACCUAAGCUGAGGCUGAAAAGCGUAGGCGAUGGGCAACAGGUUGAUAUUCCUGUACUAUCGAUAAGCGUUAGAGAGAAGGGGUGACGCAGGAGGAUAAGCUGAGCGUGCCGUUGGUAGCGCACGUCCAAGCUGGUAGGGAGUGAUGAUAGGCAAAUCCGUCAUCACAAUCCUGAGAAGCGAAGGGGAGCGAAAAACAAGUAGUGAAGCAGCCAACUCCACACUGCCAAGAAAAGCCUCUAUCGAGUUUAUUGAUACCCGUACCGCAAACCGACACAGGUAGGCGAGGAGAGAAUCCUAAGACGCGCGGAAGAACCUUUGUUAAGGAACUAGGCAAAAUAGCCCCGUAACUUCGGGAGAAGGGGUGCCGGUCAUAGUUAGAUAAAUACUUAUCAAAGCUAUAGCCGGCCGCAGUGAAUAGGCCCAAGCGACUGUUUACCAAAAACACAAGUCUCUGCUAAGUCGAAAGACGAAGUAUAGGGGCUGACACCUGCCCGGUGCUGGAAGGUUAAGGGGAAGAGUUAGCAAUAGCGAAGCUUCGAACUUAAGCCCCAGUAAACGGCGGCCGUAACUAUAACGGUCCUAAGGUAGCGAAAUUCCUUGUCGGGUAAGUUCCGACCCGCACGAAAGGUGUAACGACUUGGGCGCUGUCUCAACAAAGGAUCCGGUGAAAUUGUAUUACACGUGAAGAUGCGUGUUACCCGCGACAGGACGGAAAGACCCCGUGGAGCUUUACUGCAGGCUGACAUUGGAUUUUGGUAUUACAUGUACAGAAUAGGUGGGAGGCAGAGAACCUAGGGCGCCAGUCUUAGAGGAGCCAAACUUGGGAUACCACUCUUGUAAUGCUGAAAUUCUAACCAGAGGCUUUGAAACAAGUCAUGGGACACUGUCAGUUGGGCAGUUUGACUGGGGCGGUCGCCUCCUAAAAGGUAACGGAGGCGCUCAAAGGUUCCCUCAGCACGGUCGGAAAUCGUGCAAAGAGUGUAAAGGCAAAAGGGAGCUUAACUGUAACACCAACAAGUGGCGCAGUAACGAAAGUUGGACUUAGUGAUCCGGUGGUUCCGAGUGGAAGGGCCAUCGCUCAACGGAUAAAAGCUACCCCGGGGAUAACAGGCUUAUCUCCCCCAAGAGUCCACAUCGACGGGGAGGUUUGGCACCUCGAUGUCGGCUCGUCUCAUCCUGGGGCUGGAGUAGGUCCCAAGGGUUGGGCUGUUCGCCCAUUAAAGAGGCACGCGAGCUGGGUUCAGAACGUCGUGAGACAGUUCGGUCCCUAUCCGUCGUGGGCGUAGGAAAUUUGAGAGGAGCUAUCCUUAGUACGAGAGGACCGGGAUGGACAGACCGCUGGUGCAUCAGUUGUUUCGCCAGAGGCACAGCUGAGUAGCUAUGUCUGGAAGGGAUAAGUGCUGAAGGCAUCUAAGCACGAAGCCCCCCUCAAGAUAAGAUUUCCCACCUAAAAAGGUUAAGACUCCAAGUAGACCACUUGGUAGAUAGGCCUAGAGUGUAAGAGUAGCAAUACUUUUAGCUAAUAGGUACUAAUAAGUCGAGGGCUUGACCAG
rnacentral:tRNA from 1 species